AUCCAGCUGAAUAGUCCGAAAUAGGAUGAAACGCACGUCAAACAGGAU
rnacentral:hammerhead_ribozyme from 1 species